CUUGAUGUUCUGUCUUUAUCAUACUGAAAAUCGGUUAUUGAGAAAAGACUGGGGUUCUUGAUUUAUUCCAUAAGGCAUGUCGUUUACAAGAAUCCCAUGAGGUCUUUCUUUUUAUUUUGAAGAUAUUGAUCCAUUGAUGUUUUUUUUAUAAGGUAACUUUGUAUUCACACCAAAAAGCUCAUCAAUUUGAAGAUAUUGAUCCAUUGAUGUUCUCACAAAUGACAGUGUUAAUGUGUAAUUGAGUUCAAAAUAGAGGCAUUUUCAUGUUUCUUCAUACACAGGAUUGAUUGUAGGAGAAUCAGCUUAUGUAAACAAGAAGAUUUAUUGUCCCUUUACAUGUUCAGACUGAGUGAAUAUAGGAUCUCCAGAAUAAUGACCUUAACAAGAUAGUCCCUCCAUUUUUCCUGUAAUAGAGAUGCCCCUAGGAAGAGUAGAGCUGCUCAGAGCUUUACAACGCACACAUUAAAUUAUAAUGGUAGUAGUGGAUCUCGUAGUUUUUGAGUUUUGUUUGUUUUAGGUUGGGUGCUGGGGGAAAUAUCACUGUAAUGGACUUAUUAUCUGGAUUGUACAGUGGUUUUACCUGAUGCAUCUGAAAAUUUUUAGUUGUUUCCUUUUGAAGUGCUUAAUGUUGAUAAAGGGUUAGGCUAAGCUCUAAAAGUUGUGUUUGUUCCUAGAGCUUGAUAUCCAAUGUUUUUUGAAAUGAUUGGCUCAAUAUAUGAAGGAGUUGCAUAUUAAGACAGUAAUGAUGUGCUAUGUAAAGCUCAGCAGUAUAAUUUUUUGUCAGUAAAGCUGCAGUACUAUAAUUAUUAUUUCAGUUUGUCUAAUUGUACUUCCAGGCGGAGUUUAUGGAACAUGAUGAGGAUCCCUCUUCCUUUAGAUAAUCCGUCUGUUGGGUGCUCUAGCGGAGAAGUGUCGAGCAUUUGCAAAGGCCCUACAUUACAAGGAAAUGGAAUCUAAAGGCGCACUUUCAAAUAGGAGGGAUGCAAAUUCUGUUGCUGUAGUUGAAGCUCUAAUCCAAAUAAAUGAUCAAUUACAUCAACAUGAGGCAGCUAUUGGAAUAUUAACAUAUGCUCAGCAGCGUGGGGGUUCAGCUAUAGGAGUCACAGUACCGCUGAUUGUUGCAUUCUGUUUUACUGUUUUAGUUGCAGCUUGUUUUUUCUUGUUAGUCCUAAUUAGUACUAUAGGUUGCACUAGCUUUAAAGAUGUCAAACAUGAUUAAGUUUUCAGAUGAUGAUUCUAUUACAGUAAUCAUUAUAAAGAAAUAUAUGCCUACGAACCGAACUAU